rnacentral:miRNA from 1 species
AGAUGAAGAUGCAGACGCUAGC